AACGAACGCUGGCGGCAGGCCUAACACAUGCAAGUCGACCGCUGCAGCAAUGCAGAGUGGCAGACGGGUGAGUAACGCGUGGGACCCUUCCCAAUGGUACGGAAUAGCUCAGGGAAACAUGAGGUAAUACCGUAUACUCACCAAGGGGGAACGAUUUAUCGCCAUUGGAUGGGCCCGCGUCGGAUUAGCUAGUUGGUGAGGUAAUGGCUCACCAAGGCGACGAUCCGUAGCUGGUCUGAGAGGAUGAUCAGCCACACUGGGACUGAGACACGGCACAGACUCCUACGGGAGGCAGCAGUGGGGAAUAUUGGACAAUGGGCGCAAGCCUUAUCCAGCCAUGCCGCGUGAGUGACGAAGGCCUUAGGGUUGUAAAGCUCUUUUGGCGGGGACGAUAAUGACGGUACCCGCAGAAUAAGCUCCGGCUAACUUCGUGCCAGCAGCCGCCGUAAUAC
rnacentral:rRNA from 1 species